rnacentral:lncRNA from 1 species
GACAAGGCUUAGCACCGAUCCCGGUGCCGCAUCGUUCCCGGCUCCUGGGAGCGAGGGGGUGCAGCACGGAGCGCGCUCCCCCAUCAGCUGCCCGGCCAGGCCUGCCGGCCGAAGCGAUUUGCCUGCUAGGAAGCUGGAUUUAGUCAAUCUGGGAAAUUCGCGGCCGUGAGUCAGUCUCACGGCUUGAGCAGCCGCGGCGCAGCCCUGUUUCCUGGCGCCACCUGCAGCGUGCAGAGCUCGGGGUAUUUCCCCGUCACCGGCCGCUGGUGGAGCGCGAACAGCUCGGCCGGGUGCUGCAGAGCCGCCCUCGCAGCCGCAGAGGUGACAUUUCCGAAGCAGCUGAAGCGUGUAGCUGUAGGAUGCAAGGCAGAGACAACAGCUGAAGGGAUGGGGAUUGCUGGCCAAUGUUCCUGGAGAAACUACCACCACCAUCACGGAUUCACCUUUCAAGUAGCCCAAUGGCACCUGAGGCUCUGGGGGCUCAACUGGCCUGCAAAAAGGUGGGCAGUGAAGGAUGUCUUUGAGGGUCUAAUGCAGAUGGAGUUUGGUGGGCAUCUCUGUCUGCCAAGAUCAGGAAAGGACUCCUGCAGACCAGGAAAGCCAAAACUGAGUGAAGAGCAGUAAGAAGAGAAGGAAGAUGGAGCUGGAGGCAAGCCUGACCAUGCUGAAGCUCAGGAUCUAAGCUUUUGGACAGCCACUCCUGCAGUUAUUCCAGCAAUGUCCCACACUGAAGACCCUGAGCCUGCCCAGGACCAGGAGACACAGAUGGGACCGUAUGUGACCUGCACCAUCAGAGCACUCCUUCAUGUCAGCCAGCUCAGACUUUCCACAGAGCAAACUAUGUGCAGACUAGUAAAUAAUGAAGAUUGUAUUCUCCCUUGUGAUGAGAUCUCCAUUUCCUCCUUGUUAAUGUCCUGCAACUUUGCUAGACUAGGAGGUAAGUCUCCCAUUUUGCGUGGUGUGUAUCACAGUUCCCACAGUUACAAGGAUACUCACUGUGUAUAUGAAUGUUUUUCUAUGUUACAGCAGGUAAUUUGAUUAGCUCAGUACUCAGACCAUUUAUUUCCUUUCAAAAUCUUUAUGACUGAAUUUUGUCGCACAGAACAAGACUUUUAUAUUUAAAUAGAACAAAUAGGCAAUUCCACACUGGUACAGUUAAAUGAAUUUGUUUUUUAUAACAGGAAAGUUGUUUGUUGCAACCAUUUAAAUACAAAGACAACUGGAUGAGCUAGCAAGUUAUUAAUUCCUUUUCAUUUUGGAAAAGGCUGGUGUAUCAAUUGAUAAUGUAUUUUACUUUGCAUUUGUAUAAUGAGUUUUCUUUAGUUGAAUCCCUAAACAGCAGGGGAACUCAGUUCAGCUGAAUUGGCCAUGCUGAGUCAUAACAAUUCAGAAGCUGCAAGGGCAAAAAAUCUAAUUAUCCUCUGGCCCUCACCAUAGAUCAUGUCUCUCUGGGCAAAGGUUGGUGGGUAGUACUAAAUAACUGUGGUAAUCUUCUCCAUUCAGAUCCUUCUAGCUAGUAACUGUUCUGGGGUUGUUCUGUAAUGGUCUUUAAUGCCACAUUUGACUCUGCCUCCAGCAACUUCAAAGGAACUAGAUGUAACUGGAGCAGGUGGCCAUUUCGUGUCAUGACAUUGUGCAGAUUAUAUCUUUAUCACCUUUAUCUGGGAAAUAUGCAUCCAUGAGGAAGCAUGUACUUCAUGUUAUCAAAUUAGCAGGGCUGCAUUCUUCAAGGGUUGUGUAGUUAACAUGCAGGGUAAAUUACAUCAGUGGAGCAGUUCACUGUGAAGCAAAUACUUCAAAGAGCUCAUUGCCUCCUUGUGGGUGUUCAACAAGUGGGAUUGGGCUCAAUUGCA